rnacentral:rRNA from 1 species
AACGAACGCUGGCGGCAUGCCUAACACAUGCAAGUCGAACGAGACCUUCGGGUCUAGUGGCGCACGGGUGCGUAACGCGUGGGAAUCUGCCCUUGGGUCCGGAAUAACUCAGAGAAAUUUGAGCUAAUACCGGAUGAUGACGUAAGUCCAAAGAUUUAUCGCCCAGGGAUGAGCCCGCGUAGGAUUAGCUAGUUGGUGAGGUAAAGGCUCACCAAGGCGACGAUCCUUAGCNGGUCUGAGAGGAUGAUCAGCCACACUGGGACUGAGACACGGCCCAGACUCCUACGGGAGGCAGCAGUGGGGAAUAUUGGACAAUGGGCGAAAGCCUGAUCCAGCAAUGCCGCGUGAGUGAUGAAGGCCUUAGGGUUGUAAAGCUCUUUUAGU